UGCACGGUGGCGCAGUUGGUAGCACUGUUGCCUUGCAGCAAGGCAAGGUCCUGGGUUCGAUUCACCACCGGGGGUCUUUCUGCAU